GGGCACCAGGACUUGGGCGUGCAGGACGCCAGGACUUGGGCGUGCGGGACGCCAGAGCUGGGUCAGAGCUCGAGCCAGCGGCGCCCGGAGAGACUCGGAGAUGCAGGCGGCUCGGAUGGCCCCGAGCUUGGGGCGGCAGCUGCUGAGGCUCGGGGUCGGAAGGUCUGUGUGUGACAAGUGGGACGGUGGGCAGCGGCCCUGGGCACCGGGCCAGGACUGAACUCCCACUCCCCACAGCUCGCGGCUCACGGCGCUCCUGGGGCAGCCCCGGCCCGGCCCUGCCCGGCGGCCCUAUGCCGGAGGUGCCGCUCAGCUGGCUCUGGACAAGUCAGAUUCCCACCCCUCUGACGCUCUGACCAGGAAAAAACCGGCCAAGGCGGUAGGUAGCCCCGAGGCCAGGUGGACCUUAGCCAGACCCAACCAGAGCCCUGAAAUUCGCCUCUCUCUGCCCAGGAAUCUAAGUCCUUUGCUGUGGGAAUGUUCAAAGGCCAGCUCACCACAGAUCAGGUGUUCCCAUACCCGUCCGUGCUCAACGAAGAGCAGACACAGUUUCUUAAAGAGCUGGUGGAGCCUGUGUCCCGUUUCUUCGAGGAAGUGAACGAUCCUGCCAAGAAUGACGCUCUGGAGAUGGUGGAGGAGACCACUUGGCAGGGCCUCAAGGAGCUGGGGGCCUUUGGUCUGCAAGUGCCCAGUGAGCUGGGUGGUGUGGGCCUUUGCAACACCCAGUACGCCCGUUUGGUGGAGAUCGUGGGCAUGCAUGACCUUGGCGUGGGCAUUACCCUGGGGGCCCACCAGAGCAUCGGUUUCAAAGGCAUCUUGCUCUUUGGCACAAAGGCCCAGAAAGAAAAAUACCUCCCCAAGCUGGCAUCUGGGGAGACUGUGGCCGCUUUCUGUCUAACUGAGCCCUCAAGCGGGUCAGAUGCAGCCUCCAUCCGAACCUCUGCUGUGCCCAGCCCCUGUGGAAAAUACUAUACCCUCAAUGGAAGCAAGCUUUGGAUCAGGCAAUCUGCCUCCCAUUUCUCCCCUUCUCCUCCACCCAAUUCCAGGCCCCACUGCUCCCCGUCCUCCAUGCCCUGAAUAUCCCCUCAUUCUUCCACAGUAAUGGGGGCCUAGCAGACAUCUUCACAGUCUUUGCCAAGACACCAGUUACAGAUCCAGCCACAGGAGCCGUGAAGGAGAAGAUCACAGCUUUUGUGGUGGAGAGGGGCUUCGGGGGCGUUACCCAGUGAGUGAAUUUGGGUUGGGGGAGCUUAGGACUGAGGGGCAGGACUGGGCUCCUGGGCAGAUGGCUGUUGCAAAUCACCCUGGGGAUGUGUGCAAAGGCCAAAGCAGGUGGACUGCAUGUGGCCUUUGGGACUAAUAUGUAUGAAACUGAGCUAAAGUUUUG
rnacentral:sRNA from 1 species